GAAGAGGCCCCCUCCCCUCCCCCGCUCCAAGGGAAAGACGCAUAAGAGAAAUAAAGGAGUCUUGCUCACUCUGCGUUCACCACACUCGCAGGCAACCACCGCGCGCGCACCGCACCGCACCGCACCGCUCACGCUCUGUACGGCUGAAACUGCUGCACAGCACACGCGCACGCAACGGAGCGAUAGAUAACUACAUCAAUGCUACCAACCCACAGUUGUAAAGGUUUCGUGGAUGCCCAGGGCAGGGUCUUCGUGGAUGGCCGCGAGUACCCCAUGGCGUCUGGCAUUGUCGCCACGGAAGACGUAAUCCAGACGAACAUCAAGGCCAUGGCGCACACAAUUGCGAAGGACUACAAGUCGCUCAGCCACCGCGACGCUCGUCUGUCACCCAGCACGGCGGAGACCGCAGAGGCGGCAGAGGCGGCGGAGGCGCCGAUCAGCUACGACAACCCGCUCAUCAUCAUCUCCGUGCUCAAGGGCAGCUACAUCUUCACAUCCGACUUCAUCCGCUACCUCGGCGACUGCGGCCUGCCGCACGUUGUCGACUUUGUGCGGUUGGCCUCGUACAACUCGGGUACAAAGAGCACCGGCCAGAUCUCGAUGCUGGCGGGUCUCAGAUUCGAGAAUCUACGCGGCAAGCACGUACUGAUCGUCGAGGAUGUGUGCGACUCUGGGCGCACGCUGCGCUUCCUGCGCGAUUACAUCAUGGAGAAGUUCCAGCCCAAGAGCAUCAAGACGCUCGUGAUGGUGAACAAAGAGCAGGCGGCCCGCAAGGUGGACUUCGAUCCGGAGUACUUCUGCCUUGCCGGCCCAAACAAGUACAUUGUCGGAUACGGGUUCGAGGUGAACGAUCGCUACCGUGACUUGCGUCACAUCCUCAUCCUGCGGGACGGGGAGGCCACCCGUUACCCUGCCAAGCUCUGAGCUCGACGUCACACCACCGGAGUGGAGGGAAAUGUGGAGGCGGCUGAGUGUGCCGGAGUAAGAGAAGUAAGGGAGCCUGCGGAGAAGACGCUUGUGCACGUGUGUAUGCCCCCAAAUCUUCGCGAGGUGUGUAGUUUCUGCUGCGGCUAGGACGGCGCUCGACGCAAGCUGGACCACAGAGGGGGAGGCACCAGUAGGGAAGAAGCGCACUGCUAGCCACAGCCACGCACACGCACACGCGAAGGGGGUGGGUGGGGUGGAUGCGUUUAGCAGGCUAAUGCGCUCACAAAACGUAAAAAAGGCAUUAUUCUAUGCUUAUUGGCUUUGGUUUUGCUUUCUUCGAUCGUCGACGACGUGCGCGCUUCUAUUCGCUUCCCCUCUUCAUUUUCUGUCGUAUUCAUGCUGUUCGACGUGGGCACUAUGGAGCUGGUCGAUCAGCAGACAGAGGUCAGGGAGGGUGGAGGGGGGACGAGGGACAAGGCUGGAGGGAGCUAGCGCGCGAGAGGCCAGAGAGGUGAUUGAGUGGUUCUCGAGUGCGCCUCCGUGCUCACAGGCCUACACCUGGUGAAGUGUUCAGUGCUUCUUGCGUGGGCAGCGAGCGCGCUGCUGCUCUUUUCUUGCACCUUCACCUCGCCACUCUCCCUCUUCACGAAUUCGCUGACGCGUAGUGGUUAACGCCGUCUUUCUACGCCACCUCCCCCCUCCUCCGCCUCUCUCAUGUGAAAAUGACCGACCGUAAUGGUGCUGACAUCUCCGUGUGAGCACUCCUCUUCCUGUUUUGCCUUUCCUCCCCUUCUUACCUAUCUUUCUACACACGCAUGCGCGUGUGAGUGUGUCUCCCAG
rnacentral:misc_RNA from 1 species